GUGUUCACUUCGGCAGCACAUACACUAAAACUGGAACAAUACAGAAAAGAUUAUCAUGGUCCCUGCACAAAGAUGACACAAAUUUGUGAAGUGCUCCCUAAAAAUUU